rnacentral:rRNA from 1 species
CAGCGCCACGAGUGGGAACCAGAAUUAUUGGGUUUAAAGCGUCCGUAGCCGGCUAAGUAAAUCUUUUGUGAAAUCGUUAAGCUUAACUUAACGUCGUGCAGAAGACACUGCUUAGCUUGGGACCGGGAGAAGUUAGGAGAAUGCCAGGGGAAGCGGUAAAAUGCUAUAAUCCCUGGUAGACUACCUGUGGCGAAGGCGCCUAACUAGAACGGAUCCGACGGUGAGGGUCGAAAGCCAGGGGAGCGAACCGGAUUAGAUACCCGAGUAGUCC